rnacentral:rRNA from 1 species
CCUAACGGGCGGCAGCAGUGGGGAAUAUUGGACAAUGGGGGGAACCCUGAUCCAGCCAUGCCGCGUGUGUGAAGAAGGCCCUCGGGUUGUAAAGCACUUUCAGUGAGGAAGAACGCCUGGUGGUUAAUACCCAUCAGGAAAGACAUCACUCACAGAAGAAGCACCGGCUAACUCCGUGCCAGCAGCCGCGGUAAUACGGAGGGUGCGAGCGUUAAUCGGAAUUACUGGGCGUAAAGCGCGCGUAGGUGGCUUGAUAAGCCGGUUGUGAAAGCCCCGGGCUCAACCUGGGAACGGCAUCCGGAACUGUCAAGCUAGAGUGCAGGAGAGGAAGGUAGAAUUCCCGGUGUAGCGGUGAAAUGCGUAGAGAUCGGGAGGAAUACCAGUGGCGAAGGCGGCCUUCUGGACUGACACUGACACUGAGGUGCGAAAGCGUGGGUAGCAAACAGGAUUAGAUACCCGAGUAGUC